GCAAUGGCGUUGAUGGAGAAAAGUACCGCGGAAGAUCGGUCAAAGUGAGCAGGCGACAGUGGGAAGCCUGUACAUGAGUCCGCGCGAAGAACACUCUGGAGCUGCGAUUUGAACGCGGAGUCCCCGCUAGUAGGAAAGACGAGUUGCGAUCGUUACAUCGCACGGGCUUGUUGGAGCCUUGAAGGUGACUGUUUUAACAGUAAGUUAGGUGGCACCGCGGAUAGCAGCUAUUCGUCCUAAAA
rnacentral:ncRNA from 1 species